rnacentral:rRNA from 1 species
GUAGAGGAUGCUUCUGGGCAGCCCCUGUAAAAAGUUCCUUGGAACAGGACGUCAUAGAGGGUGAGAAUCCCGUAUGCGACCGGAAGGGCACCCUCCACGUAGCUCCUUCGACGAGUCGAGUUGUUUGGGAAUGCAGCUCUAAAUGGGAGGUAAAUUUCUUCUAAAGCUAAAUACUGGCCAGAGACCGAUAGCGCACAAGUAGAGUGAUCGAAAGAUGAAAAGCACUUUGGAAAGAGAGUUAAAAAGCACGUGAAAUUGUUGAAAGGGAAGCGUUUGCAACCAGACUUGCUCGCGGUGUUCCGCCGGUCUUCUGACCGGUUCACUCGCCGCGUUGCAGGCCAGCAUCGUCUGGGGCCGCCGGAUAAGACCUUGGUAAUGUAGCUCCCCCUCGGGGGAGUGUUAUAGACCAUGUUGAUGCGGCGCGUCCCGGGCGAGGUCCGCGCUUCGGCUAGGAUGCUGGCGUAAUGGUUGUAAACGGCCCGUCUUGAAACACGGACCAAGGAGUCUAACAUCUAUGCGAGUGUUCGGGUGUCAAACCCCUACGCGUAAUGAAAGUGAACGGAGGUGGGAACUUUAUUGUGCACCAUCGACCGAUCCUGAUGUCUUCGGAUGGAUUUGAGUAAGAGCAUAGCUGUUGGGACCCGAAAGAUGGUGAACUAUGCCUGAAUAGGGUGAAG